AUUUGUUACAGCAUUGGCACAUCCUUCACACAUCAUUUCUACAUUGAAUUCGUAUACCUUCAAUUUACAUUAUUUAAUUAAUAUUUUAUUAUUGUAGUAAAUUGACAAUUAAAUUACCUGAGAUGCCAUAUCGAUAAUUAUACAUUAUGAUGUGCUGAUCGUAUUGCAUGAUUUGCCACAACAAAUUCUGUGAGAGUUACAUCUGCUGUUCCACCAGAUUCAAGAGGUAUGGCAUUCUGACGAAAAUGUUCAAGCAUAUCAUAUAUAGCAGGAAAACAAA